rnacentral:rRNA from 1 species
UACGAAGGGGGCGAGCGUUGUUCGGAUUUACUGGGCGUAAAGGGCGCGCAGGCGGCUCAUUUUGUCAGGCGUGAAAGCCCCGGGCUUAACCUGGGAGGUGCGUUUGAUACGGAUGGGCUGGAGUUCGGGAGGAGGAGAGCGGAAUUCCCAGUGUAGAGGUGAAAUUCGUAGAUAUUGGGAAGAACACCGGUGGCGAAGGCGGCUCUCUGGACCGAGACUGACGCUGAGGCGCGAAAGCGUGGGGAGCAAACAGG